rnacentral:tRNA from 1 species
CAAUUUAGAACUUGAAUAGUAUUUUAUUUACAAUAAAAAGAUAAUUGUAAAAUCAAUUUGAAUUGA